rnacentral:misc_RNA from 1 species
AACGCACGAGACCUGCGGACCUGCGGAAGGAUCAUUAACAAAUCAGUUGUAUGGCUUAGGCCAUACAUAUUCACCCCAAGCCUGCUUGUCAGGCUUAGGUAGGCUAGUGUGCUUCGGCAUACUGGCCACAUAGACGCUUGUAUUGUUUGACAGAGUUUAGUUGCAUCAAAAAAUGACAACUUUCAACAACGGAUCUCU